GAGGGCGAAAACGUUCUAUAUCACGUAUCACGAUAUCAAAUAGAAACAAGCUCAUUGGAAACAAGAGUAUGAAAGAAGCAAAUAAAAAGACAUUGAAUAAUCUAAAAGCAGAAUUGAAUUUUGGAAAUAUUUAAAAAGUUAUCUUAUCAUUGAUAUGAAAGAUGGAUGGUAUUAUUUCAUUAUCUUAUCUUAUGACAAAAAAUUAAA